rnacentral:rRNA from 1 species
AUUGAACGCUGGCGGCAUGCCUUACACAUGCAAGUCGAACGGUAACAGGUCUUCGGAUGCUGACGAGUGGCGAACGGGUGAGUAAUACAUCGGAACGUGCCCAGACGUGGGGGAUAACGAGGCGAAAGCUUUGCUAAUACCGCAUACGAUCUAAGGAUGAAAGCAGGGGACCGCAAGGCCUUGCGCGUUUGGAGCGGCCGAUGGCAGAUUAGGUAGUUGGUGGGAUAAAAGCUUACCAAGCCGACGAUCUGUAGCUGGUCUGAGAGGACGACCAGCCACACUGGGACUGAGACACGGCCCAGACUCCUACGGGAGGCAGCAGUGGGGAAUUUUGGACAAUGGGCGAAAGCCUGAUCCAGCAAUGCCGCGUGCAGGAUGAAGGCCUUCGGGUUGUAAACUGCUUUUGUACGGAACGAAAAGGCUCUGGCUAAUACCUGGGGCACAUGAUGGUACCGUAAGAAUAAGCACCGGCUAACUACGUG